rnacentral:precursor_RNA from 8 species
GGGCUGGCUGUAUCCUGCAGGGCCGGGGAGCUGGGGAAAGCAGGAGUGAGGGUCUGCACCCCAGUAAGCCUCGUUCUGCUUUCCCCACAGGCACCCCUCAUGCCCUGAUCGUGCGGCGCU